rnacentral:lncRNA from 10 species
AGGACCUCCUAGUGGAAGAAACUGUGAAAAUGGCUGGUGUCACUUCAGACGCAAAAGGAAAAGUGGCACAUCAUGUUCAGAAUCCGAUUAAAUAGUGCAGGGAUCAGAAUCAACAUUUAGAAGACCUACUCCCUCAAAACAAGACGACCAAGAAAACAAAUUGAUUCUACUACCUUGGAUUUAUUAAACUUGCUGAGCAAAGAGCCGUACCUCUGUGGAGUCCCAGUACUGCCUAAAACAAGGGCACAAAAUUGCCUUGUAUUCAAGUUCCAAGUACCAACCAGCCUUCCACGUGUUGUUGUUUCAAAGAUAACUCUAUUUGCAAAGCCUUUACGCUACUGUUCAGAGAUUUCCGGAGUGUGUGCAACUUCAGUGAGGACUGGAAAGUGGGCCAUUGCGCAGUUCAGCUCUCAGGCUCUUUGUAGAUAACUCUAUUUGAAAGCCUUGACACUGCGGUUGAGAGAUCUCUGGAGUGUGUGCAACCAGUGGUCAGUGAGGACUGGAAAGUGGACCAUUGUUCAGUUCAGUCCUCAGGCUCUUUUUAGGUACACAAUUGCCUUGUAUUUAAGCUCCAAGUAUCAACCAGACUUCCAUGUGUUGUCGUUUCGAAGAUAACUCUAUUUGAAAGGCUUGACACUGCUGUUCAGAGAUCUCCAAAGUGUGUGCAACCCAGUGGUCAGUGAGGACUGGAAAGUGGGCCAUUGCACAGUUCAGCUCUCAGGCUCUUUUUAGGGCAAGGCACAGUGGCUACUCAUUCUCUGCAAAGAAGGAGGAAAAAAGGGAAGAAGGAGAAAGUCACAAAGGGAAAACUCACGCUGCCAAAAUGUCAAGUUUAGGGUAUUCCGGGACAGAAAAAGACACGUCCCAGCAAAGAAGACCUACCUAGACCUGCCCAGCUAAAGUGUCACUGAUUUUUAAAAAAUAAUUAAUUAAAAAUGAUUAAAUGAUUGUGUGUGUGUUGCAUGUGUGUGUGUGUGUGUUUAUAAAAGUGGGAUGGCAUUAUCACUUGUUCCUUGUAGCUGAGACUCUGGGGGUUGUGAGAUGGUCCAGAUUUCUG